CCACUAGGUUCGACCUAGCGCCGCCGCCCCUCUCCGAUCUCCUCUGUGUCGGCCUCCUCCACACUGUGCCCUAAUUCCCCGGUCUCCUCUCAUCAGAGUCGAGCCUUCUUCACAGCGACUUCCUGUGCCCUAUCGCCGGUUUUCUGCCACGACGCUGACCCCUCUGCUGUCGGCGACGAGCCACCUCUCUGGCUCUCUUUGUGCCGGCGACCGAUCCUCCUUUCCUCCUCACGGCAGAGCACCCCGGCAAGAGCACCAUUCCUCCCCUUACUGUGCCGUGCCUAGUUUAGGUGCGGCCGAGCCUUCCUUUGUGUUCUAGGUUCCGGUUGAGAAUCUGUGCGGUGGAUUUUAGCAGUAAAGCUGUAAAACUUCAGCAGCAACGAUCCUUGCUAUAGAGCCACAGCGACUGUGGUUGAGCAACCUUUUGAUUUACAGCAGCAAUUUAUCUUUGCUAGCAGUAAGUUUUGUUUUCAAGCAGCAUCUUGGUCCAGCAGCAGUAAGGACUGUGAUUCGAGAUUGGGCGUCUUGACAUCGGAUUGGUUCGA